AACGAACGCUGGCGGCAUGCCUAACACAUGCAAGUCGAACGAGACCUUCGGGUCUAGUGGCGCACGGGUGCGUAACGCGUGGGAACCUGCCUUUAGGUUCGGAAUAACUCAGAGAAAUUUGAGCUAAUACCGGAUAAUGUCUUCGGACCAAAGAUUUAUCGCCUUUAGAUGGGCCCGCGUAAGAUUAGCUAGUUGGUGGGGUAAAGGCCUACCAAGGCGACGAUCUUUAGCUGGUCUGAGAGGAUGAUCAGCCACACUGGGACUGAGACACGGCCCAGACUCCUACGGGAGGCAGCAGUGGGGAAUAUUGGACAAUGGGCGAAAGCCUGAUCCAGCAAUGCCGCGUGAGUGAUGAAGGCCUUAGGGUUGUAAAGCUCUUUUACCCGAGAUGAUAAUGACAGUAUCGGGAGAAUAAGCUCCGGCUAAACUCCGUGCCAGCAGCCGCGGUAAU
rnacentral:rRNA from 1 species